GAGGCAGCGCUUGCAGUAAGCCGAGAUUGCGCCACUGCACUCCGGCCUGGACAAGAGAGCGAGACUCCAUCUCAAAAAAAAAAGGAAGGGGACAGAAAACUGGAAUAGAAAAUUAUUAAGGUUCAUUCCUGCUCUAAAAUCACAAAUCAUCAUAUUUUCUAAAGCAUUUAAAAAUGGUAUGCAUAAAUAAUUAGAGGCUUAGGUUCUAAACUAAUUAUAAUUAAAGUUCAUUGAAGGCAGAGGUAGAGUGUCAUUAUAAAAGUUUUAUGAAUUGUCUUAAUACUGAGUGAACACUCAAAUUCUAAUGGAAUGAAUUUUGCCUGAAUUACACUUUUAAAGCAAAGUUUCCAUGUGAAUUAUUAUGGAGCCAUCAUUGAUUACCUAUUUGAUUUUGCAAGUUUAUUCAUUUGUAGAACGGGAAUAAAAUACACCUUACAAAGUUGUAAGAAUAAAUGAAAUAAAGUUCUGAAAUAUAAGAA
rnacentral:lncRNA from 10 species